rnacentral:lncRNA from 1 species
CUUGAGUCAAGGCACAUAGGUCGGCUUGCUGAGCUGAAGUGACUGCUGAAAGUGGAGCUGCUUCCAUCACCUCAAAAGGAGUUGUAAUAGUAUAUCCAGCACAAUAUUUUCUCUUAGCAUUUAUUAAAUAGAAACGAUCAGUAAACUGUGAGAGCUCAGCAUUUGUAAUAGGAGUUCCCUGUAAAUCAACCGUAGGUGUCAGUAGUUGGUCAGUCAAGGUUAAACAGUCACGAGGUGCAUCUUUGGAAGGCAGGGGAAGGAGAGUCAAAGGUUAAGAUUUCUAUAACGGGAGAGCAUAAUGUGGGGAGAAGUUAACAACAGGAUCUCAAUAGAGGGGAAAUGGACUAUAUAAGUUACUUCCAGUUGGGGCUCUGGAACAUUGAGAAUGUUGAAGGAGGAAGAUAAGUACAGAAGGAGAAAGCAGUUAUAGAUGGGUAAGGCUGCAUCUGUCAAAGAGGACUGCUGGACGCUGAGCAGUCAAAGGCUAGAACAAGUUACCAUACUUCAGAGAAGAGAGGUGGAACUGCCAUCAAAGGUCACUGCCAAGAACCAAGAGAACAACUUCCUGUCCUUUGAUGAACACAACUACAAAGGAAUCAUGGCGGAAGUGUGGCCAGGGAUGUGCACCCCACCAACGGAUGGCUCAGGAUGGUCAGCACUGCUUUGUCCAAAGUUCAGCAUAUAUCUAGGUGGGAUCUCCGAGCAAAGCUUGCCGUCGCCCAAGAAGAGAAGACCUUCCUGUCGUUUGUGGAGCGGAGACGCGAGGGAAUCCCGCAAGAAGCGUGGCUUCGGGUGCGCCCCGUGCCCGUGGCUCGCUGAGGCUGGUGGAAGUGCCGUGCAAAGCUCGCUGCCGCCCACCGACAGAAGAAGACCCUUCGUGUCCCGUGACGAGCGCAGGUGCGAGGCAGUCGCGGCGGAAGUGUGGCCCGGGAUGCGCACCACGCCCUCGGACGGCCCAGGACGGUGGGAUCUCCGAGCAAAGCUUGCCGUCGCCCAAGAAGAGAAGACCUUCCUGUCGUUUGUGGAGCGGAGACGCGAGGGAAUCCCGCAAGAAGCGUGGCUUCGGGUGCGCCCCGUGCCCGUGGCUCGCUGAGGCUGGUGGAAGUGCCGUGCAAAGCUCGCUGCCGCCCACCGACAGAAGAAGACCCUUCGUGUCCCGUGACGAGCGCAGGUGCGAGGCAGUCGCGGCGGAAGUGUGGCCCGGGAUGCGCACCACGCCCUCGGACGGCCCAGGACGGUGGGAUCUCCGAGCAAAGCUUGCCGUCGCCCAAGAAGAGAAGACCUUCCUGUCGUUUGUGGAGCGGAGACGCGAGGGAAUCCCGCAAGAAGCGUGGCUUCGGGUGCGCCCCGUGCCCGUGGGUCGCUGAGGCUGGGAAGGCUCGGCUGCGGUAGAUGACCUGUGCGGUAGACGGCGUCGCGCCCCCGGGAGGUUCGGCCCCCAGUGUUUGUUGUCCUAGCGCCUUGAAGAGACCCACAGGCCCGCGACUGGCCACCGGCCCCGUCUGCUCCGGAUUGCUGAGGCGGACAAUCUCUUUGACCCUGCGCCCCCUCGGGUCCGGCGCUUGCCAGGUGAAGGCGUUGCUGCAGGAAGGUUCGCUCUUCCUGGCCCGGGGGGCUCCUGUGGUCCCGGGCGUGCCGGGGAGCGGGGCCAGGUGGCGGUGUGGGGCGUCGGGGGGGGGGUGGGGGGGCGUGCGCGAGGGGUGGUUAAGAGCGGUGUGCGGAAGCCUGCGGGCGUGGCAGCGACCCGAGGGUGCUGCGAUCCUGGGCGCCCUGCCCCGGACGCACGUCCAGCGUGGAGGAGGAGCACGUCUCCUUGUGUGGGAGCGGUGUCCUAGUUUCAUUCUUUGCCUUGUCUUCCAGGAGGAGGCAGCGUUUGUGCUCUGUGAGGUCGUCUGUGGUGUUCUGGGGCCGAAGGAGGGGGUCAUAGGUCGAGUGCGACGCGGUCGACUUAGGCAAAGUCAUAAUGCCUUGACGGCUGUCGUCCGGGAGGCUCCCUGCCCGCCUGGCGCGCGAGGUGUUGGAGGCUACACCUUGGGGGACUUGCUGUGCAGGCGUGAGGGGGCUUCCCCUUUGGAGCAGGGAGCCGCGGGGUUGAACGUUUCCUCGAAGGCCAGCGCCCCGCAACCCGCAGGCGGUGGAAAUGCCGCGUCGCUGCGUGGGAAUUGGCUGUGGUCUGAGACGGGUCUUGCCCCGGGUCUCGGUGGCUGUGACCAGCCGUUGCAGCGGGGUUCCCUGCUGGCCCGCCCAGGGCGUCUUGGCUUAGAUAGCCCAGACCGGAGUGCGGCCUGAAGGCGUCGGGCCCCUGGAGGUUCAGACGGGCUGCUUCUGUUGCGCCGCCCGUGGGCGAGUGGUGCCGGCUCUCGUGUCAGCCCUGUUGUCCUGGCGGUAGCCAGGUAGCAUUACCAUCAAGUGCCGUUCCCCCCGGCCCAGCUCGCGGGGACACGCUGGCCACGUUGACCUCACAUCCACGGUCAGCGUGAGGGUGUAGGUGGAUGGUCCGUGUCCUUUGCUCAGAAGGAGUGGCGCUCAGAGAGGGAGUCCGGGGCCGAUUGCAGCAGCCUCUAGCGGUGCGAGUUGGCGUCCUUCCUUGGGAAGUCACCGGGCUUCCGCGUGGGGUGGCAGGGCACGAGGUCAGGCAUCUGUGAGGACGGCGUGCUUUCCCGGGUGCUGAGGCCACCGCACACGGAAGCCCGCAGGCACGCACGCGCGCGCGCGCGCACACACACACACACACACACACACGUGCACAGGCCUGCGCAUCUGCCUACACUCGGGAUAUCACACGCGCCUUCGGUCAUCCCGAAGGGAUAGAGGUACAGGGCAAGCAGAUGCAAGGGUGCCGCGGGGGGAACUGUGGCACGGAUCCUGUCUUCUGACCAGCUGGGCACGUUUCUGAAGCAUGCGUGUGCUUUCUCUACACUCCUCAGGUGGAAGAGCCGUGCAAAGCUCGCUGCCGCCCACCGACAGAAGAAGACCCUUCGUGUCCCGUGACGAGCGCAGGUGCGAGGCAGUCGCGGCGGAAGUGUGGCCCGGGAUGCGCACCACGCCCUCGGACGGCCCAGGACGUUCAACAUAGAAUCAGCACUGGUUUUCACAUGAAAGAAUUUUUUUUUUUCUCCUUGAGAAGUAAAAUGACGGAGACUAAGUCUGGCAUCCAAACUUCACUGUCCAGUGGGAAUUUUCACACUGAAUGGAAGUGAUUUUGGAAGAGCAUGGAAUACUCACAACUGUAGUGAAGAAGUGCUGAUUUUGUCACUUUUACCUGUUCCCUUUCCUGAGAUGGAACAAAACAGUGCAAUCCAAAGGUCAACAAGAACAAAUCUCAGGUUUCAUAUGAAAAUGUUUAUUCCUUCUCCUUGAGAUAAGACAUGAAGGAAAGGCCCAUCCUCAAGGACCAGUGGGAAUUCUUAGAUUGGUGGAAGCAGUGGGAUUUGAAGCAAACUUCUGACAACAUCCAGGGUCAACAAGAAACGCAGGUGUGGCACCCAUGAACCCUUUCGAGUUCACUCUUUCUUGUCAUUUCCAGGGGCCAUUGAAAAUUUGCCAAGUCAUGUAGCUACAGCAUGCACAGAAGAAAUUUUGACUUGAAAUGACUGCAGAAUGAAAGAUUCUCCUCCCCAGAGAACCAAAGGACUGGGAAAUGACCAGAACGUAAAAGUGAGACUCUUAUGAGAAGUGAGGAGUCAGUCAUUCAGGAAGAUCUGGUAGGGAAGGGACAUUUUACUGCUUGGAAUUCUCACUGCCACUCUGAAGAAGUGCUGUUUUUGUCACUUGCACCAGCUCCUUUCUCUGAAAAAGAUCAAAACAAUGCACUCCAGAGGCUGACAUGGACCAAAAAGUGGGUUUCAUAUGAAAGAGUUUAUUCCUUCCCUUUGAGAUGUGAAGGAAAGUAUUGGGAAUAAUUCUACCUUCCAUCCUCAAGGGCCUGUGUAAAUUCUCACAAAGGUACAGAUAGAGCCUAGAAGGAAAGGGAAACUAUGCCUUUCCCUUUACUCUUGAAUGUCAGCUCCAGAGAAUGAGCUGAAAACUUCCUUCUUAGUCAGUGAUUCUCCAUUCCUACUGGUGAUCUUUUGGACACUCUUGCAGAAGAUGACUACUUGGGAAUUCUUUGGGGAGUGAAUGAUACCAGUAAAUCCCUGAAACAAGACUUUUCAGACAAAGAGCCUUUUCACUUACCUGUUGUUCAAGGGCCACCCUCUAAAGUCUUCUUGCAGGUGAUGACCUCAAAGGCGAGGUGGAUUUGUUACUGUGGAAGCCAUUACUUCUAUCACCAGCUUCACCAAAAACAAUGAUACAGUCCUCCUUAUGCAUGGAGACUCCUCUCUUUCCUGUGUUGCAGUGGACACCUCCUGCAGAUAAGAAAUGCUUAACUGAGAAAUGCUCAUAUUGGGAUAUCAUCGAUGAGACUUUAAUUUGGGCAUGGUGACUGUUUCCCUUGCUGCCACUUGACUCAAUCCCAGGAGCCUCAGUAGAGGAAAUAUUAUUGCACAAGAAACUCAAAAUGGUGGAAUUGCUCAGUGCUCCCAUAAAUAGACAUUUAUAAUUUUCAUUUGCCAUGUGGUGAAUUUUAAAAAUAGGAUAUAUUAAAAAGAAGCUGCAUGAAUUUUUUCAAAAAUUCAAAGCAUUUCUAAAUAUCUAAUACAGAAAUUAAGUGCCCUCCUCUCUCCCAAUUCUAACCCCCAGAGUUUUUCUUUAUUAAGGGAGUUGUGUGCAUUCUUUAAGUGGAUAAAUGCACACAUGCAAGCUAUUUCUGGAGGGUUCUGGAAGUGGGGCCAUGCUGUACACAUUCUUCUGCAAAUUGCCUUUCAUUUAAUAGUUUUUUAAAUGCCCUUUUUCUAUUUCAGUAAUAUACAUUUGUGUCAUUUGUUGAAUGACUGCAUGACUGUUUUGUAGAUGAAAUAUAAUUAAAUGUUUUGAUUAUUUCUCAGCCAUAGAUAUUUAUGUUAGCACCAAAUUUCUGCACAGUGAACCUCCCUAUUUAUUAAUAGUUUUGCAUUUGUCUAUUAUAUCAUGAUAAAUUACUUAGCAGUUGAAAUACUGGGAUUAAGAAUGUGCACAUUUCAAAUUUUGAAAAUUAUUGCAAGAUUUCCUUAAAAAUGUGGUGACAACUUAUCCUAAAAUGGCAAUGAAUAAGAUUGCCAGCUUUCCCACAACCUCACAGAUAAUGGAUUUUAUAAAUAUUUAAAAUCUUUGCCAGUGUGAUAGCCCAAACUAUUGUCUUAAAUUGUAUUUCUUUUGUUUUUGAGUUUGAUCAUUUUUUCAUAUGUUAUUAGCCAUCUGUAUUUUUUAAUUUCCUCUUUAUGUCUGAUUUUGGGAGUCGGGGGAGGUUUUAGUCUCUUCCUGAUUUUGAAGAGCUCAUUGAUUAUUGGGGGAAUAACCUUUGGAUUGUCAAGCAUUACAGAUAUUUUUUACACACUUUUAAACUUCAUUUUUGAUAUAAGAAUGUAUAUAAUUAUUAUGUGUCUAAGUAUAACCGUGUUCGCUUCUAUGGCUUCUGAAUUUCAUGUCAUUUUGGAAAGGUAUUUAAACUGAUUCCAUAAAACCCUUCAUAUAUGUUAACUUCUAAUUCUUUUGUGUUUUUUUAAUUCAAAUUCUGAAAUCAUAAGAAAUUUUUUUAUUUGAAAUCUUAAAGUUGCCAAGUUAUUUGCCAUUACUUGCGAUUAUUUGCCAAUAAUUGCCCAUUUAUCUGUAAUGCCAUCUUGCACAUAUGCUGUAUUCUCAUCUGUGACUGGCUCCAUUUUUGUUCUGUGGAUCUUUGCGUCUCUUCUUCUGCCUCUUGUCUCAUGUGUCUUCUUGUUGGAAGAAAUUACAGUAUAGACUGCAAUUUCAUCAACUUUAAUAAAUUAAUUUAGGGGAGAAUUGGUUUUUAAUAAUAUAAGUCUUCCUGUUCAAGGACAAGGUAUGUCUUUUUUUUUAUUCAAUAAUUUUAAUUACUGUUAAUAUUUUCACUUUGUGAUGGGGGUGUUUUCUUUCUGUUUAUUUUCUUGAUAAUUUUUCUGUAUCUGAAAGUUUUGUGUUUUUUUUUGGUAAGUGGUCAGCUUACACUUUCUCAUGGCUUCAGAUUUUUUCAAAGUACAUACUAAAUCCUUUGCAAAUACUAGUAGUUUUUAGUCUCUCCUUCAAAAUGAUCUAGAUUUCAGUUAUGUUGAUAAAGUUCACUGACUGGUACUUUCAGAGCACUUAAACAAUUGUGGAAAUGUCCAACCUUGAUUUAAUCAGAUUUUAAUGGAAUGCUUCUUGGUUUUGACUAGCACAUUAUUGUUGGCCUUUUACCCAAAAAGACUUGCAGAAAGAGCUAUGAUCAAGCAAAGCUGAGUUUAUUAAACCUACUGCAGUAAGGAAAAACACCACUUUGACAAGAUUUAGUAGUGUUUCAAAAGCAGAAAGUUAGGACUUAGGGGUUUGGGCUAAUGUGGUUUAAGGCAGGCUUUUCAAGGCACAGAACUGGUUAGGAAUGGGCAGAAUCUGUCAUGUAAUAGUUUAGGUUUGUGAAAGAGUAAGGACCUUGAUAUGAGUCUAGAUAACCAAAUUUGUGUCUGAUAAAUGAGCUGUUUGCCCAUGUGAGUUAGAUGUUAUCAAUGAGCUAUUUGCUUUGAUGAGCAAGCUGAAUCUACUUAUUGGUUUAUAGUUCAUUCUUGUUUAUAGGACACUGCUGGGGGUUGCAUGAGGUCUUAGUGCCAAUAGGUAAGUUAUUUUGAUGUGGGUAGUCUCAAUUGUCAAUUUAAUAUGCUAAUUUUAAACUUAAGAUAUGUUUUGUAUCAUGUUAGGAAAGUCUUCCACCUUUUAUAUAUUUCUGAAUAAUUUUAAAAUGAGGUGGUAGAUGUAAUCAAAUACUUUUUGCGUAAACAAUUAUAUUAUUCUUUAAUUAAACAUAUCAUUGUGAAAUAAUUCAUUUUCUGUUAAUGAAAUUUCCUUUUAUUGCUUGAAUGAACAAACCCUAUUUGGUAAAUAGAUGUUUUACUCUUUAAAUUUACUACUGAAUUAUAAGUAUCUUAACUUGAUUUGGAAUUUUUGCAAAUAUACUAUUGAAUGAAAUUGAUUUGCAAUUCUUUUUUGUUCUAUUUUUGUCAUGUUUUGAUAUCAGGUUUUCUGGUUGUGUUAAAAUAAUUUUGAGGAUUUUCUUCUUACUCUGUGUUCCAGAAUGGGUUGAAAAGCUCUAGCAUCAAUAUUAACAGUUAAGCAAACACAUCAAUGAAAUUAUCUGAACUCUUUUUUGUUUUUGAUGGCUUGGAGUAGAACUGAGGCUAACUAGAAAAUUCUCUCACUUUUUUCUAUUGUUAUUGCUUGUUUUUUAUUUUAUAUAUUUAACUUGCUUUCUCCUAGAAAAUCACAAUGCAAGCAGAUUUUCAAAGAAAGUACCACGAAGUUAUAUAAAGUGUUCUUUCAUCACUCUAUUAAUUUCUCUUGUUUCAAUUAAUAUCCAUUUUCAGUCCAGUUUUGUUUUUUUCUGCUAUGCAUUUUUAAUGAAAUAAGUUUGACUAGUGGAUUUCUAGCAUCACUAGCUCUCUCUUCCCCUCUCCCCAAGUCAACUCUUUGGUAUAAUUUAUCAGGGCUUUUUCUUUUUUUGAUGUUUUAAUUUAUUUAUAUGUUUUUAAUGAAUUUCUGUUUUUUAAAAGAAAUUCUUAAAUGUGUAAUCUACUUAUUUUCACUUAUUCUUGGUAGUGAAAUACUUUCCCUGUUGUCAAUUUUAUAAAGCUUUUCAUUAUGAACACAUUCUAAAUAUACACAGUAUAAGGUGAAAAGAACAGUGAGCGUGCAGAUACUGGGAACCCAAUUUCUACCAUUAUCAACAUUUCACCUUAUUUACUUCAUGUUAUUUUUGAAAUAUUUUCAAAUAAGUUAGAAGACUUAUUUCCCUCAGAACACUUAUUUCCCUCAGAAGUAUUUUAAAUACUUUUUUAAAUACUUAAAUUUAAUAAGUAAAAUAAAUACUUAAAUUUUGAGUUACAAAACUCAAAAUAUGCGAAAGGAUAUUCAGUGAAAGGUAAUUCACCUUCUCAAUUCUGUCGUCCAUAACUACCCAAUUUCCCCUUCCUGAUGGUUACUCAGGUUAUAGUUUCUUGUUUUUCCUUUCGGACAUAACACAAACACACACACACAAUCACACACAACCCCCAAAAUGUAUGUGGGUGUGUGUGUAGGUAGAUACACACACACAUACUAUUAUAAUUUUCUGCAACUUUCUGUUAUAUAUUUAUGUAAUACAUAAAUCUUUUAAUGUUUCUAGCAGAUCACUUCAUAUUGGUAUAUGAGGCACUUCCUUAUUUUUAAUAUUUGUAUUUUUACAUAGGUAAAAUUUAUAUAACUAAAUGCAUAGAUCUUAAUUAUAUAAUUCAGUGAGUUUUCUUAAAUGUAUAUACUAUGUAAAUACUACCUUAUUUAAGAGAGAGAAUCUUUUUAUUACUUGAGAACCUCCCCUACUGCCUCCUUCCAGACAAACCUAAUUCUCAUAGGAAACAAUGUUCUUAUUCUAUUGUCAUAGAUUACUUUUGUCUGUUCCUGAAAUUAAUAUAAAUGGAAUCACAUAGUAUGCAUCUGGCUUCUUCCACUCAUCAUGCUAUUGAGAUUCAUCCAUUUUAUUCCCUAUAUCAAUAAGUUAAAAAAUUUUUUUGUUGUUGCAGAGUAGCAUUUCAUUGAAUGGGCAUAUUACAAUUUGUUUAUUCAUUCUCCUGUUGAUGGACAUCUGGGUUUCCAGUUUUUAAAUAUUUUGAAUACGUUAGCAGAUUUUUUGUGUGAUUACCUAAAAAUGGAAUUCACUUGAUCAUAAGAUAGAUUUUGCUGAACUUUGUCAGAAACUGUCAAAAAGGCUUCUAAAGAGGUAGAAACUUUCCACCCUCUCAGCCAGUGAUAUGUGAUAUUUUCAGUUGCUGUCCAUCAUCACCAACCUUAGAAGUUGUUAGUCUUUUAAAUCUUAUUCAUUUGAGAGGGUGUGAGGUGGUAUCUUGUGACCUCAAUUUACAAUUUGGUCACUUAAGAAGAUAAACAAUUUUUCAUGAGGUUAGCUGCCAGUUAUAAAUUCUCUUUAGUAAGAUUUCUGUUUAAUUUCUCCCAAAAUUUUACUUAUUAUUUUAAAGUAAUUUUAGACUUACAGGAAAUUUGCAAAAAUAGUACAGAGAGUUCCUAUAUAUUCUUUGCUUUCCUAAUGUUAACAUCUUGUAUAACCAUUAUUGUAACAUUAAUACAUAUAACAAUUACUAAAAUCUAUAAAUUUUAUAACAUUGAUGUAAAUACUACUAACUAGUCUGAAGACCAUAUUUGAAUUUUGCCAAUUGUCCCACUAAUGUCCUUUUCUUCUAGUUCUGAAUCCAACUCAAAAUCUCGCAUUGUAUCUGUAAUUUUUUCCUUUGUCUCUGUACCCACCCCCCAAUCUGGGAGAGUCCUCGGUCUCUCCUUGUUUUCCAUAACCUUGACACAUUUGAGGAAUAUUAGACUGUAAUUUUGUACCAUAGUCCUCAAUUCAGAUUUGUCUGAUAUUUCCUCAUGUUUAGAUUAGAGUUAUGCACUUUGGUAAAAAUAGCACAGUGAUAAUAGUGUGUGCUUUUCAGUGGAUCAUGUAAGCAGUGCAUGAUGUCAAUAUAUCUUAUUUCUGCUCAUGUUAAAUAUGAUUACUUGGUUAAAGUGGUGUAUGCUAGGUUUCUCCACUGCAAAGUUACUAUAUUUCUCUUUGCAAUUGAUAAUAUUUCGUGAGGAGUUACUUUGAGACUAUGCAAAUAUUUUCUCUCAUCAUGUAUCAUACAUAUAUGCCUAAAGAUGGUUUUCUAUUUCCAUGAUACAUUCUACAAUUAUUCAUUAGAAUAUGACUGUAAGGAAGAGCUGCCUUCUCCUCCAUUUAUUUAUGUGUUCAAUUGUUGUUUUAUAUCAGUAUGGAUAUAUGAUUAUUGUGUUCCAUGAGUUUUCAUAUAUUGCAGUAAAUAUUUACUUUUAUUUCUCAAAUUAUCCAAGAUUUGACCAUUGGGAGCUCCUUUAAGUUGGCCCCUGUGUUCCUUCACAUAAUUUUUUGAGCACUUCCUUAGUUUUUGGUUCCACAAGAUGUUCUUGGCUUAUCUUAUAUUUUCCUUUCCCAAACCUGGAAUCAACCACUUCUUCAAGGAACUCUGGUUCUUUGUACUGGAAAAUAGUAUUUAGAAACUAAGAUCCGAGUGUUAGGUGUGCUCAUUGCUAUUGGGAUAUCAUUUCUUCUAGGCAUACUAGUGUGCAGAGUUGGUAUGUAGAAGUUUACUCAUACACGUAGGCACACAUCUAAAUUAUUUCUAUCUCUAUCCUUGUGUGUGUGUGUGUUUGUGUGUGUGUAUGUGUAUCUCCAUACUGAUAUUUCUGAUUACAAACCAUUAUCACAGGGCUCAUUUUAUUCUUUCCUCUUCCCUUAUUUGUAACCCCUUUCCCCAAUUGCAAGAAACCUACCUUUCAUUACCCACAAUAUGUUUUCUUAUUUCCUCAAUCCACUGUAUACAUUGUUUCAGAAUUGCUAAGCCAUACUCCUUUAAAAAAGAUAAUUACUAACUGAAGUACAAUAUUUAACUAUGGUUCUAUUUU